rnacentral:rRNA from 1 species
GACGAACGCUGGCGGCGUGCUUAACACAUGCAAGUCGAACGGACAGGCCCUGCUUUUGUGGGGUGCUCGAGUGGCGAACGGGUGAGUAACACGUGAGUAACAUGCACUUGACUUUGGGAUAACUUCAGGAAAAUGGGGCUAAUACCGGAUAGGAGCUACUGCUGCAUGGUGGGGGUUGGAAAGUUUCGGCGGUUGGGGAUGGACUCGCGGCUUAUCAGCUUGUUGGUGGGGUAGUGGCUUACCAAGGCUUUGACGGGUAGCCGGCCUGAGAGGGUGACCGGCCACAUUGGGACUGAGAUACGGCCCAGACUCCUACGGGAGGCAGCAGUGGGGAAUAUUGCACAAUGGGCGGAAGCCUGAUGCAGCAACGCCGCGUGCGGGAUGACGGCCUUCGGGUUGUAAACCGCUUUCGCCUGUGACGAAGCGUGAGUGACGGUAAUGGGUAAAGAAGCACCGGCUAACUACGUG